AACGAACGCUGGCGGCAUGCCUAACACAUGCAAGUCGAACGAGACCUUCGGGUCUAGUGGCGCACGGGUGCGUAACGCGUGGGAACCUGCCCUUAGGUUCGGAAUAACUCCCCGAAAGGGGUGCUAAUACCGGAUAAUGUCUUCGGACCAAAGAUUUAUCGCCUUUGGAUGGGCCCGCGUUGGAUUAGCUAGUUGGUAGGGUAAAAGCCUACCAAGGCGACGAUCCAUAGCUGGUCUGAGAGGAUGAUCAGCCACACUGGGACUGAGACACGGCCCAGACUCCGACGGGAGGCAGCAGUGGGGAAGAGUGGACAAUGGGCGAAAGCCUGAUCCAGCAAUGCCGCGUGAGUGAGGAAGGCCUUAGGGUUGUAAAGCUCUUUUACCCGGGAUGAUAAUGACAGGACCGGGAGAAUAAGCACCGGCUAACUCCGUG
rnacentral:rRNA from 1 species